UACGUAGGGCGCAAGCGUUAUCCGGAAUUAUUGGGCGUAAAGAGCUCGUAGGCGGUUUGUCGCGUCUGCCGUGAAAGUCCGGGGCUCAACUCCGGAUCUGCGGUGGGUACGGGCAGACUAGAGUGAUGUAGGGGAGACUGGAAUUCCUGGUGUAGCGGUGAAAUGCGCAGAUAUCAGGAGGAACACCGGUGGCGAAGGCGGAUCUCUGGGCCAGUACUGACACUGAGGAGCGAAAGCGUGGGUAGCAAACAGG
rnacentral:rRNA from 1 species